rnacentral:misc_RNA from 1 species
GAGAAUGUUUAGAGAGCACGGUUAAUCACCAAUCCCACGUGCGUCCUUUUAAAUUCGUUUGCAGGCGGCCUCUUCGUCUUUUGUCCGUGCACGGAAUCGCAAAUUACGCCGAACGAUCUCGCGUUAAAUCCCGUUGGAACGUAUUUGUUCCUCUCUCUCUAUUUAUAUCAUACAUCGUGGGCCUGAAUUCUAGAGGAAACGAAAGUUGGCAAGUGGAAUAUGUAAAUAAAUUUGUCACAGUCGUAUUUGUUGAUAAAAAUGUGGAAACUUGACCAUGGAUAUUGCACACACAGAGUCCAGUUGGAGUUGCUGUUACGGACAAUUGUUUACAAAAGUGAAGUAAUCGUUUUUGAACUAACCUCUCCGGCGAAAGCCUGUCCAUUCACAGUGUGUUCGGAUCCUCUCGAGUCGCUACAUCCCCAGUGGCAGUGGUACUGUUCCAAUUUGUAGACGUCGUCCAUCAAAGGUCCGCCGCUCAAAACUGUAGAAGCAUCGUUACGAUUUUAUUUAAAGACACAGUCCCAAAACUGUGGAAGCAUCGUCGUAAUUUCAUUUAAAAAAAACGUAACCAUGCUUGGCCAUUUAAAAAUCGAAUCGUCAUUCAACGACAGUGUAAUCUUAUCAGUAGAAAAUUGCAAGAAGAAACAGAUAUAUGAACCGAUGCUAAGAAAAAAGAAAUAAAAAACAAAGAUAGCGAACCAGAGAUGUAAAUCAUUCUCCUCUAUUUUUCUGACCUUAAGUUUCCUCUUUCAAACGAACGUUGAAUAUUCGCCGAAUUUAUCUUUAUCGUAAAUUUAUUACGCGAUCCUUCGCCUCCUCCGAGAAUACGCGGUAGAAUUUUUCGACGAAACCAUCGUCAACACGCGAAAGAAUUCUAAUAUUAGUCCGUAUUAUGGUUUCGCGGUUGUGUAACGCGAAAACAGGCGGCAGAAAAGUUUCCAUCGUUUCCACGAUGGCACUUGGAACGAACGCGGAUCGUUUCAGCGCGUUGAAUUACAGGAUACGCUUGAUUAGCCGAAUUACAAGAACGAUACUGGGGUCGUAAGGGGAUAGAAGCGAACAGAGAAACCCCACACGCGUCAUAACCGCAAAGGUUAAAGAAGAUUUAUGGCGAGCGGGUCAGAGUCGACGAACUCUCGAAUCGAAUAGCGUAGCUUCAAACUGAAUAAACGAUCACCUGCUUCGAUCCUACAGCGAGAGUCAAAAGAGAGUAUACGU